rnacentral:rRNA from 1 species
GAGUAACACGUGGGCAACCUGCCUGUAAGUUGGGGAUAACUCCGGGAAACCGGGGCUAAUACCGAAUGAUAAAGUGUGGCGCAUGCCACGCUUUUGAAAGAUGGUUUCGGCUAUCGCUUACAGAUGGGCCCGCGGUGCAUUAGCUAGUUGGUAGGGUAAUGGCCUACCAAGGCAACGAUGCAUAGCCGACCUGAGAGGGUG